rnacentral:rRNA from 1 species
AUUAGAUACCCUGGGUAGUCCACGCAGUAAACGAUGAAUGCUAAUUGUCCGUUGCGAAUGAGCGAUGGGUGAUACAGCGAAAGCGUUAAGCAUUCCACCUGGGGAGUACGCCGGCAACGGUGAAACUCAAAGGAAUUGACGGGGGCCCGCACAAGCGGAGGAACAUGUGGUUUAAUUCGAUGAUACGCGAGGAACCUUACCCGGGCUCAAACGCCGUCUGACGUAGGCUGAAAGGCUUAUUUCUUCGGACAGACGGCGAGGUGCUGCAUGGUUGUCGUCAGCUCGUGCCGUGAGGUGUCGGCUUAAGUGCCAUAACGAGCGCAACCCCUGUCGACAGUUGCUAACAGGUUAGGCUGAGGACUCUGUCGAGACUGCCGGCGCAAGCUGUGAGGAAGGCGGGGAUGACGUCAAAUCAGCACGGCCCUUACGUCCGGGGCGACACACGUGUUACAAUGGCAGGUACAGCGGGAAGCCACCCGGCGACGGGGCGCGGAACCCGAAAACCUGUCUCAGUUCGGAUUGGAGUCUGCAACCCGACUCCAUGAAGCUGGAUUCGCUAGUAAUCGCGCAUCAGCCACGGCGCGGUGAAUACGUUCCCGGGCCUUGUACACACCGCCCGUCAAGCCAUGGAAGCCGGGGGUACCUGAAGUACGUGACCGCAAGGAGCGUCCUAAGGUAAAACCGGUGACUGGGGCUAAGUCGUAACAAGGUAAC